ensembl:lncRNA
CAGAACGCGGAGAACAGCGAGGCUGCAGAAGGAGACGACGAUGAACUUGAAGGCCAUGAAGCUUAGAGCGAAGAUGUUGAUUAAAUUGUACAUUGAAUUGUUUUCACCAACGUACAGGCUUCCUAUGUUUGCAAAGCACAGCAGCCAAACACAUCCGAUGGAGACGUUUCUGACUCUGAUCCACUUCUGGUUCUUCAGGCCCAGGUAGGUGACGGGGUGAACGACGGCCAGGUAGCGCUCCACACAGGUCAGAGUGUGAAACAGCUGCUGGCCCAAAAAGUUCACUGAUAAAAAGCAUACACCCACCGUGACCAUUCCUGUGAGACGGGUGAGGACGCCGCAACAGCAUAAAAGGUACCCUACGAUAUUCAUCAGCUCGAUGGCGACCAUGUGGAAGGUGAAGACGUCGGAGUGGCUCGCCGCCGUGCCGGAGCGCCGUUGUUUGAGUCCCAGGUAGACGACGUAGACGCAGGGAGGGAGGACCAGCAGGAGGCUGCAGACGGUGAAAGCGGUGAUGCUGGAGGCGCCGGCUGGACUUCUGUAGCACUUCUGCAGGAAUUCAAAGAUAUUGAUGGAGGAAGAGUUGGAAGGAGGAAACGAGGAAGAGGAGAUGACUGACAUGACUGGGGGCAAGAGGGAUGAGUAGAAUGAAUAAGAAGAAGAUGGGAGAGGGAAACAGUGAGAUCAUUUUAUGGUGACAGAGAAUGGCGACAAAACGCAUAUCAUAGUUGAACGCAUAUUCACAUUCAAAUCAAUGAAGCAGGGCGGUCAGAGCGUUGGUCAUUUCAGUGGGCGAACUUCUGUAAAAAAUAUACAGACUUACGCAAACUCGUGGACUACCUGACGAGAGGAUUUCCAGUAAAAGCAAAAAUUGCAUUAACGAUUGGAAUAUAAAACAUGAGAGCAUGAAAACAUGGCACAGAAACUAAAACCCACAAUCACACAUUUGUACCUGUGAUGCAUCUGACAAAAAUCUGUGCGACCUACUUCUUAGAAUACGUAUAAUAUCUGACAAGAACCGCAGAUGAUUAAUCCGGUCCUAUAAGUUUCAUAAUAGUAGUGAGCAGUGUUUUUAUUUACCUGCCAAAGGAACAUUGUUUGGCCGUUGGCUUUAUUUUUUUAUGUGAUGACAAAUAACAUUGAAUAAAAUACAAAGAUACUCACUUUGACGGCUGAUUUUAGAUCGCACACUUUCUGACCUUCUGUCCUUUGUGUGUCUGGACUUAUAACUGAUGUGAUGCUUUGCAGAAAAAACCCAACACAUUUGAAUCUGUGUGUGUGUGUUUUGCAUGUUUUAAAACCCGUAAGCAGAUCCAGAAUCAGCGCUUUGCUGUAAGACCUUUAUAAAAUGUCUGUUAUGUACCAUCUACUUUUACACUUGGAAUGUGUGAAUUAGUGUAGAAUUUGCUUAUUUUACACUCUAGCAACAAAAUCUCCAACUUAGAUACAUAAUGUAAAGUGAAGACAAAGAAUCUCCAGGUCUGCUGUUGCUUACAUUUACAUACAUUGAAUAAAAGACCCUCUAUAUUUUCUAAGAAACCUGUUUUCAUCAGACGCAGGUGAAAAACAGCAUUAAAACACAGAUGUUCAUUGUCAAUGUCUUCAUUAUGAGUAGUUCUGGUUGUGAGAAAUUUGCUUAUUCACCUCAUCUUUCACCAAGAUGUUGUUUGACAGGAUUCAAAUGAGCUGUGACUAAAAAUCCUUCAAUUAUUCAAAUCAAACACCGUCCGUCUCAGUGUGUCACUUGUUAUUUUAAGACCUAAACGAGCUACAAGAUCAACUUUGGUCCAGUAUUUUGCUAAUCACAGUUGGAUAUUUUAUUUAGUCUACCACAAUUUGUCAAUUAUUAUUAGUAUUUGGUUAGAUUAGCUAAUUCCGCUGGUCUGUAUGUAGACGUCUACCAACAAGGAGACAAGAAAUGCAGAAUAAAAUAAUUUAAAAAAAAGAUAAUGCUUGAGCACUACAACACAAAAUAUCCACAAAGAGAUUUAAAACUACCAAAAUGAGCACAGAAAUGGUAUUUUCUGCGGAUUUUAACCUCAUCUGUUGCUGUUCUUACAAAACAGGAGUUUUCCUGCCCGGUGUAGAAAGAGCAGAGGCAACACCAGGCUGCCCGGCAGAGACGACCACCAUGUCAACAACCACGCCGUACACUUCUCAGACUCAAGAUGCAGAUGGUUAAAUGAUGCACAGUAAACCGCAGUCCCCCCAGACCUCACCAACAGCACCCCCACUAUGACCAGGAUGGUGUAGAACGCUCUCUUCUCUGCUCGGUCGACCCGCUGUCCGGCCAGGAGACGAUGAUGAAGAUGAAGGCCAAAGAAUAAUAAUAAAUAAAAGAAAAUGUUGAUUGAAUUUGAUUCCACCACGUAUAGGGAACCUAUAUUUGCAAAGCAGUGCAGGCAAACGAAUCCGAUGGAGACGUUUCUGACUCUGAUCCACUUCUGGUUCUUCAGGCCCAGGUAGGUGACGGGGUGAACGACGGCCAGGUAGCGCUCCACACAGGUCAGAGAGUGAAACAGCUGCUGGCCGCACAUGUUCAUGCUAAAAAAGGUCAUACCCGCAAUCAUCAAUUCUAUGGGACCACCGACGACGGCACAGCUGCAUAAAAGGUUCCCUACGAUAUUCAUCAGCUCGAUGGCGACCAUGUGGAAGGUGAAGACGUCGGAGUGGCUCGCCGCCGUGCCGGAGCGCCGUUGUUUGAGUCCCAGGUAGACGACGUAGACGCAGGGAGGGAGGACCAGCAGGAGGCUGCAGACGGUGAAAGCGAUCAUGCUGGAGGCGCCGGCUGGACUUCUGUAGCAGUUCUGCAGGAAUUCAAUGACAUUGAUGGAGGAAGAGUUGGAAGGAGAAAACGAGGAAGAGGAAUUGACUGACAUGACUGGGGGCAAGAGUCAGGGACAGAGAGGAUAAGAGAGAAAGAUAAGACACAAUCUUAACAAAAGGUCCUUUUAAACGUCCUCAUCUUACGCACUCUUUAAGCUAAACACACUCUUCCAACAGGUAGAUUUAUUGAUCAAAAUCAUCACAACAUGAAGGUAGGUAUCUUCUACAGAAUUACCUUUCACAUUUGUUUUUGAUUGAACAAGAAUAUUAUUGACAGAUAUAACAUUCGUACUUUAAAAUCAGGUAAUGAAGCAUUUAAAAAAAACAAAUGAAGAACAAUAUCUUAUGAAGAGUGUAAACUAACCGCCAUUAUUCGUAACAGAUGUCACUCUAAUGAAUUAAACUGAUCGAAUUUCCACCAUGAAAAUACACCUACUUUCUUUGCAGUUUUUGAUUGUGAUCCUUCUGAUAUUCUGUCCGCUGUGUCUCUGGCCUGUGGACUGGUGGACUGUCGCCGGCUGCAGCGUAAAUGUGCGUCUGUGUGUGAAUGUUUUGCAUAUCACGUAACCCGAGAAUUGCUCCAACAGGGGGAGCUGCUUCUGAACCUCGGCCCUCAGAUUUACAGGUGCUGAUCCGCAUCCCGACUGCUUCACACUGGUCUGUGACCUCCAGUGAGAGUUGGAGAUGCCAUUAGGACCACACCAUCUGCAUAAAGCAGCGAUGAGAACGGUGAAGCCUCCCCCUCAUCCCCCCGACUACGCCCCAAUAUCCAUGUAAACCACAAACCGGACUAGUGACAAGGUGCCGGCCUGGCGAAGGCCGACGCCCACCGGAAACGACUCCGACUGACGGCUUCCUGUCUGUACUGGGUGUGCUGGGAUUGGACGGCCCCUUGGACUGGGUUUGGCAUGUUAGCAUGCUAACACUUACUAGCCUAAAAAAAUCUAGACUUCAUAAGUUUGAUGAAAGCAGCAUUUCAACACAUAUUAAACAGCAUGUUCACUUGGCAGGGCUGUUUAUUCAUUGAUUGGUUAUUCGGCAUAUGAUUCAUCAGAAUUACAUGAAAAUACACUUAAUUUGGAUAACAAACUCUCUGAUCGGUCCGUUGUGUGUCUGAGCUGGUGUGCUGUGUACAUUUGAAUCUGUGUGCGUGUGUGUUGCAUAUUUUGUAAGUAAAGCAUUGCUCAUUCACUUUGAAUUGCUUUGGAUGUGCAUCACCUCAGUAAUAAAUCCAGGGGACACACAAAAACAUGUCAGAGUCGUUAUUGCUUCAAUUUAUUUAGUCAUUUAAAAACACAUGUUACACAAGGAAGGAAUCAAUUAGUGUACAUAAAAGAUCUAAUCAGGUUUGUUAUAAGUUUCUUAAAUCAAAGUUUUUUAUCAAGAAACAUUUAUUGCCAUAAUAUGUCAGACAUACAAUAUAUAAACUGAAAGGUUUUGUGUCUCGAGAUGUUAAAUGCUUUAAAAUUAGAUCACUUCACAAGCUGGAGUUUUUUGCAUUUUGGAGACAGAUCAGCGACCAGCGAGAUAAAUAUGACGCAUUAAAACCAGAUGCACAUUGUGUGUUACUUUACUGUAAAUAUUUCUGUUUUUGGUGAAUGUGUUUGUGUGGAUGUUAAAAAGAGCUGUCAUGUAAGUGUGCGUCCCUUGUUAUUUGGGGAUCCAAACAGGCUGUAGACUAGUACAGUCUUCUGCUAGUAGAUUUGAAUUUUCUAUAUUUGAUCACAGUGACUAUUUAGUUAGUACGGCUGGGUUGUUGGAGUCAUUUUCUGGAGAGAGAGAAACAACACAAUGGCAUCUAUGCAAUGGGAUGAAACAUUCACUUCAAAAGCUACUGUGAGGAACAUUCCCCCGGAGGGACGGGAGGCUCACGAGGACCAGGACUUUGGGGAAGAGAAGACAGGUCUGGUAUGCAAACUGAGGACGUGCUACUCUGAUCCCUGUUCUGAUCCAUUUCCGUUCUUACAACAAAGCAGUUUCCCUGCCCGGUGCAGAUAGAGCAGAGGUAACACCAGACUGCCGGGCAAACCGAACCACACUCCCGCCAGCAACAAGUCACAGCGGACCUGCUCGCUCCACGUCAGGGAGUUGUAGGCUGACAGGACGAGCAGGUAUCCCCCGAACCGGAACAAAUGAGUUCCCAAUAUGGCCGUGAUGAUGUAAAAGGCCCUCAACUUGGACUGGUCCACCCUCUCCCGGCCGCCGGCCCCGUCCCCCGGCCCCGGACGAAUCAGGGCGCGGAGAACAGAGAGGCUGCAGAAAGAGAUGACGACUACGGAGGACACCGAGAGACAAAUGAAAAAGGCGGAGCUCAUAAACAUGUUUAGGCCAAACAACCCGAGAAAAAACAGCCAAACGCAUCCGACGGCAACAUUCCUGAUCCUGACCCCGCCCCUCUCCCUCAGCCGCAGGUAGGUGAUCGGAUAAACGACGGCCAGUCGGCGCUCCACGCAGGUGAGGAUGUGGAAGGGAACCUGCCCGUUGGUGGCGACUGAGAUGACGUACGCGCCGAUCCUCACCAACAACGUUGCGUCGGCCAAGGCGCCGCAGCAGUAGAGGGCGCACCCGAAGACGCAGAUCAUCUCCGUGGCGACCAAGUGGUAGGUGAAGACAUCACAGUGGCUGGCCGCCUUGGAGCCCUGUCGCCGCCAUCUUUGGACGCCCAGGUAGAAGACCAGGAGGCAGAGAGGGAGGAGGAGGAGGACGUCGGUGAAGCAGAAGGCAAUGAAGAUGAGGAAGCCGGAUCUGUAGUUGAAGCAGACUUCCAUGUUCGGGACGAGGGAGGAAUUGGAGGAGGAGACGUGCGGGUGAAGGUGAGAGGCGUUAAAUGGGGACGAGGAGUUCAGGGACAUGACUGUUGAUGAGGAGGUUCGAUGAGGAGAAGACAACAGGAGACAAUUAGGACCAAAUAGGAGAGCGAUGCAUUGUGACAUGAGAGAGGCUUUACACACGUGGCGCAUUAAUGUUGUUUUCUUUGCAAACUCAAACACAUCGAUUUAAAAAGCAGAUACUCACUUUUCAGCAGUGCGUCUUCUUGAGCUUCUAUCAGCUGGUUUCCGGACUGGACUGACGAUCUGCUUUGGCAGGUCUUUAUAUAUCUGUGGUUUGCGUGCGAGUGCGAUUCCAUCUGCGUUUUUCUUCUUUGUGUUUACGUGUGCGAUGAUGGAGAUUCUUUUGCAUGUGCCUUAAAGGUAUCAUAUUAAACUGUUGGAACUUUAUACUCUAAAUCUCAGAAGGGAAAUGUCCCGUUUGGCUGUGGGAUUGUAUGACAUUCAAAUGAGGAUCAUCUGAGACUUUGAUGACACACAAAGACACAAUAUACAUAUGAAAGCAGACCAUUUGAAAACAAAAGUUCCACUCUUUAACAUUUAGAAUAACUAUCACUUCAGUUUUGUUUCUUCUUUCUGCGGCUUCAUAGUUGUAUUUUGUUUUUCUGCUGUAACGUGUUUCUCAGGCGCGCUGGUGUUGCGACUGUCUCUUUAAGACCACCGGUCUGCUCUGAUUGGCUCCCUGAAAAACUAACUUGCCAGUGUUGGACUUGGAGGUGAGUUCAUCCUGUCUUGUCCACUUUAAGUACACAGCCAAUACAGAUAACCGUAAUAAGUACAACUAAUGAAUCAAAUAAAUUAGAUUUUUGCCACUGAAAACGAUAGAGGAUUACUUCCUAAUUAAUCAUUUACAGUCCACUAGAUGACAGCUUUAAUCAGAAAGUGCAUCCCAGCCCAACGAUGAGCUGAGCUUCUUUUAAAUGUGUCUAUAACACAAAGUUGUUAUGCCAGUAACAAACAAAAACACAUUCUAAUUGUUUUACCUGGACAAGAUAUUUAGACACAUGUAAUGAACAGUAUAAAAUAUAUGUUGAAAUAACAAUGUGAGGGAAGCCGGUACAGAGACCUUUUCAUAUGUUGGCCCACCAACAAACAACAAAGUGCUCGCUCGUAGCUCUACACAUCCUGCUCCUUGCAUUGUGUGACAAACAAAAAUUAGUAUCUGUUGUUGUGUAAUUUCUAUUUUCAUGCUACACGCCCAAAUCUGUUCAAUUCCAUUUUAACUUUGACAGUUUUAGCCCGUCAAAGUGUUUAAUUUUUUCCCAUUUAAAGUAAAGCAUAUAUUUCCCGGCUGAGAAUUAACGCACCACAAUCAUUUAAAUGAGCUGUCCGGGGUGCUGAAACCCUGAACCUCUUCAUCCGGGUACCCACACCACGUCAGACGAUGCUGGCGUAUCGCCCCGUCUCGUUUUGACACACACACACACACACACACACACACACACACACACACACACACACACACACACACACACACACACACACACACACACACACACACACACACACACACACAUUCACACGCACACAUACACACUCACACACACAUACACGCACACGCACACACAUAUAUACACGCACGCAAUAGGGAACAGCGCUGCGGAAUGUCUCGUGCGCCGAAAAGAGGCUCGCGGGUGGCGGAAAGCAACGUGCUGACGUAAAAGGAAACGUGACGCUCACUCCGAAGAUCGUCUGUGAUGGACGAAGAAGACAGAGUUUAAGCUCCUCCUUUCCCCCCGUGCGUUGAAACACCGUGAGAGUGGAUAACUCUCACGGUGUUAAUUAAUUGUAUAUUAUUAAUCCAUUAUAUUAUUAAUUUGUCUAAUAAUUUACUUCUUCCUCCUUUAAUUAUUGUAUAUUUUAAAAAACAUAUACAUAUAUAAACAAUAGCAUUAUUCAUAUUAUGUUUAUGGUUUUCUUUGGUUUGCGUGUUUUCUAUGUAAUUAUUUAUACCUUUACAUUAUUACCUCCUGCCUGUGCCUGAAAUAUGUAUUUAAUGUUGUCAAUCUGGAGGCUGCAGGGUUUGUUUACUGCCGUGUGAUCCAUCUCAGCAUGAGACGAUCUUUGUAUCUCUCUCUCUCUCUCUCUCUCUCUCUCUCUCUC